rnacentral:rRNA from 1 species
UACGUAGGGUGCGAGCGUUGUCCGGAUUUACUGGGCGUAAAGAGCGCGCAGGCGGUCGAGUAAGUCGAAUGUGAAAGCCCCCGGCUUAACUGGGGAGGGUCAUUCGAUACUGUUCGACUUGAAGGCAGGAGAGGGCAGCAGAAUUCCCGGUGUAGUGGUGAAAUGCGUAGAUAUCGGGAGGAAUACCAGUGGCGAAGGCGGCUGCCUGGCCUGUUCUUGACGCUGAGGCGCAAAAGCUAGGGGAGCAAACGGG